rnacentral:lncRNA from 1 species
CCUGUUCCCUGGCUUCCUCCAUCCUGUGCAGCCCAUAGACUGUGACCAUCUCUCCGACCACUCUGGCCCUUCCUUUAUGUUUGUCUUGUGAGAAUCUCUGAGCAAGAUCUCCCCGGUCCAUCCAAACACCUGCUUUGUCCACUUUUGACUGGGCCAUUGGACACCACUGGGCCAUCCCAGCUGUCCACAGGGACCUUGAUAACAUGCAUUUCCCCUGACAUCUCCCAUCAGGGCUCAGCAGUCCCCACUGACCAGGUCCCUGCUGACCAGAUCCCGCACAUCAGGUCCUCCCUGACCACAUCCUCAGUGAUUAGACCCCCAUCACCAGGCCCCACUAACCAGGCCCCCGCUGCCACGCCCACAAUGACUAGGACUCCAUAAACCAGGACUUUACUGACAAGACCUCACUGACCUGGACCUUACUGACCAGGCCUCACUGACAAGGCCUCACUGACCAGGUCCUUACUGACCAUGUCCUUACUGACAAGAUCUCACUGACAUGGCCUCACUGACAGGGGCCUCACUGACAUGGCCUCACUGACCAUGUUCUUACUGACAAGGCCUCACUGACAAAGGCCUCACUGACAAGCGCUCACUGACCACGUUCUUACUGACAAGGCCUCACUGGUCAUGUUCCACCGAUCAUGACCCUAUUGCCUGGCCCCACAGAUGAAGCCCCACUGACCAGGCCUCCAGGGAAUAGGCUGCCAGUGAACAGGCCCCUACUAACCAGGACUGAGGUGACCAGAUGCCCCUGAACGGGACCCUAAUGAGUAGGCCCCCCUGAACAGGCACGCACUGCUCAGAUCCCCACAGACCAGGUCACCCCGUAGACCAGUGCUACAAAAGCCACCACUGAUCAAGUCCUCUCUGACCAGGCCCCCACUGAUUAGGUUCCACUGACCAGGCUGCCCUGACCAGGGCCCCACUGACAAGGGCCUCUGCUGACUAGGUCCCAUGUGACCAGGCCUCCACUGAGUAGCACCCCUUAACCUGGUCACCAGUCACCCAGCCCAUGCUGACAAGGCCACCACUAAGCCCCAGCUGACCAGGUCACCACUGACCAAGUCCCACAGCCCAGGUUUGCACUGACCAGACACCAAACAUUUGUCUGCCACUAGGUCCCCACUCACCAAGACCUGCACUACUAGAUCCCCCUAAUGAGACCCUCUCUAUGCAGACCCCUGCUGACCAUGCUCCCAACUAAAUAGGCCUCACUGACCAAGUCCCAACUGACUAGGUCCACUGAGCAGGCCCACACUGAUCAGGGCCCUCCUAAACACACCAGAAGGCCAAGCGGCAAUGAGAUGUUUCACAUGGCAGGAGUAGGAGCAAAACAGAGAGAAGAAAGAGGUGCCAUAUCCUGUUACACAACCAGAUCUCAUGAGAACUCACUAUCAGGAGAUCAGCGUCAAGAAGAUUAACCACUGGUGAAGGAUCCUCCACCCACACCACCGCCCACUGUUUCCAGGCAGAAGCCUCCUGCAGAGGCAGAGCCUCUUGAGAAACUUCCACUAUGGCAGUGCAGAAGGAAAAUAUGGGCUUGGAGGCCCCACACAGGAGGCCACCAUCCUCCAGACCCCAGAUUCAUAAGCCCACCAACAGCUCAAACCCUCAGUAUGGAAAAGCAACAGGCACUUAACACCAGUCCAGCCCAUGAAAGCAGCCAUGGGGGCUGAAGCCUGCAAAGCCACAGGUGCACUGUCCUAGUAGUUUUUCCAUGAGCCUCUGCCUCUGCAGCAGGUUAGUCCCCCUUCCUACUACCCUCUAC